rnacentral:lncRNA from 1 species
GUGACUUGGAGGGUGAGGCAACGCUUCACAGAAGAGUUGGCACCUGAACACACAGGGUUUUGAAAGAUGAAUAGGCCUAGGACAAUUGGACACAGGAUCAAAGGGCAUCCAGGAUUGUGCAAAACACUGGCAGAAACAUCACAGAUUGAAAACUGCUGGAAGAACGCAUUCACCGUCAGUGAAGGAAAGCUGGUCUGGUGCACUCUCAAGCUUUCCAAGAAAAAAAACCAAGUUUUCAAAUAAAAGCAGAGGAGGAAAGUUUCACCAGUGCUUGUUCUGAGAAACCUCUUAGCCUCUCUUUGCUUUGUUUUGCUCUUUCUGUUUUGCUUCCCUCUUAAAGAGUGCUGGCUUAAAACCUCAGUGAAAGAAAAGUACUUCAACUUUACUGUGGAAAAAGGAAACUGAAAAGUAGGCAAAGGCCAAGGGAUACAUUUUUUUAAACAUUCACUCUUUCCUGGAAUAUACAAAUGAAGCAAAAUUACAAAUUCAUGUAUUAUGGGUCUGAAAUAUUUAUUCCAAUUCUUUUCUCCACCAGCUCCAUAAAUAUUUAUUCUAUGCCCACUGCUUGUUAGUUUCUGGGAUACCAGGCCGAUGAGGCAGUCUCUUCCUCUCCUCCUUUGAGCAAGCUUGUGCUUGCAAUCCUGUAUAAGAAAUAAGAGGAGGGCAACAACUUGUAUCUUGUGCCUUCUACACAUGCCAACCAUAGCCUGAAGUUCACAGCAAAGUUAAAUUCCAGUUAAGUAAACCAGUGAGGUCAUAAUACACUUAAAUAACAACUGAGACGUGAGAAACUAACAGAGAUCCUCAGCAUGACUAAGAGAUAUCGUGAAAUUACAACUCAACAAUGAAUUACAGCACAGGCUUUUCACAACUAAGAGACUGUCCAUCAUGGUGCCAGUUUUUCUCAAAAUGGCAUGUGUGCAUGAAAUUCUACAGGCAUAUGGGGUCGUGAUCUGCUAAUCUCCAGUUAUUAUAACUACUUUGAAAAGGGACUUUCCAGCUAUCAGUACACUAUCUCACAAUUACCCUUGAACCAGAAGACAAUGAAUGAUUUGCUAAACAGAUGGCAUAGUCUAUGACAUGCAUCAUAUGUGUGAGCAAUCACAGAAGACUCCUUCCUGUUGCCUUGUGAAGAAGGCUCCUGCUUCCCCUUCACCUUCUGCGCGAUUGUAAGUUUCCUGAGGCCUCCUAGCCAUGCUUCUUGUUCACUCUGCGGAACUGUCCUGAGCUGAAAAGAAUAUGAGAAAUCGGAUUUUACGACAUACCAAAUUAUGAUUGUAUGUCCCAGAAAUUCACUUAGAAGCUAAUAGAAAAAAUGAAACCAAAGCCUUUUGAGAGUUGAAAAUUUAUCAUGACAUAUGCUGGCUGCACAGUCAAAACUUAUCACUGCCCACGACUUCGGAAGCAUGACAGGAGAGCUGUGGGAGCCACUUCCUCGUCAGACGUGGUUUGAUAUGUCAAGUGAGAACCUGAGUAAAGCAAAGAGGUGAACUAUGACUUGGAAUCCUCCAGGCUUUGGCUUCCAUCACACUCCAUGAACUUGAUGCACAUAAUUUAAUGUAGGCCUCCACCCAAUAUCAUCAGUUCUCUUGCAUGUUGAACCCCCAGUUUCCUGGAUCUGACCAACAUGACCUUAAUGUUCCUAUCAGCUCGACUAAACUUUAAAGAGAUUUCUUCCUCAAUAUGGGCCUCUAACUUCCCUUUUCUUAGAGCAUUUACUUUAGAAAUUUUGCAAUUAUCAAUUUUUUCUCCCUAUUUUUGAGAUGUAAAUUUUCUACAACUCAGGAAUGUCUUUCUCAAGGACAUGAGAGAUAUCCCUUUGAAAUGUAAUUGUGAAAAAUGAUAGCACCUCUAUUUCAAUCUGUGUAGGAGAGUAGGAGCCUAACUCAGGUAAGUGACAUUUAGCAAACUCAGAUGGCCUAAACACAUUCACCAACUUCCCCACUAAUGUACUCCCUACUGGUUCAUGUCAGCAUUUAAUAAUCCUUCUGCUUUCUUUUCAGUGGAGCUGAGUUCAGUCUGUCUCUCUUCUGCAGUGGUCUUCUCUCCCAUUGCAAUGGUCUUGAGUAAAGUGUUCUUUGUUUGUUUUACUUGGAGAUGAUGUCAGUUCAAUAUUGAAGUCUCUCUUCCCUACUACAGUAGUUCAAAUAAAAUCCAUCUUGCCAUUCUUAACAAGUAUUGGUAUAAUUUCUCUUUAACAUUUCUCGUGUCUUUCUCUUAAUUGGUUUCUUCUCUUGUUUUACAGAGCAUGUUAGUCACUAGUUUCUUAAGUCUGAUGAAUGUGCUUUCAUUACAUUUUUAUAUUAAUUGACUGAUAUUUUGGAUGGACACAUUUAUACUGCUUGGUUAAAUACGAUUUUCUCUCAGAAUCAUGUGGAAAUUUCUCCGUUAUUUUCUAGUUUCUGUUUUUGCAGUUGAGAAGUCCAAUAUCAUUUUGCUUCCCUACAUUUUUAAAAAAUGUAACCUGUUUCCAUUCUUUCUUUCUUUUGGUAUUUUGCAUCUGUUUUUAAAAAAGCAAUGAUAUAGUUCCAAAACCAUUGAAGAGUAUAAAGGAUAUUAUAAUAACGUCAUUAUACCCACCAC